UCCUGAUGACUGUUUCUUGUCCUGCCUGUGCUUUAAAUUUACCCUGUAUCCCUGGACACCUUAGCAUGUGAACAUAUGCAUCACUAGUGAAGAGGCUACAUUCAUCUAAGACCAUAUGCUCGUGUCCAUAUUAGAGCUGCUGAAUUUUCUCCAUGAAUUAAAUGCUCUUGAAAACCGUGUACAGUCAGAACCUAUACUGAAAGACUGCCAAAAUCCCAGGCCUACAUCCAUAGGGUUGUACGGGUCAAUACUUUAUGCUUGUGGGAUGAACGUGAUAGAGACAAGUUGCCCUGAAGAUACCCCAGCUUCUCUGACCAGCAUUCACCCAUGAAGCAACUCUUUUGGAACCCUCCUGAGAACAAUUCUUUCUGUUGCAAUCAUUCUUCAUGUCUUGCUCACAGAAGCUAAGUAUAGCACAGUGGGUAUAGCACAGUGAGUACUGCAGCUUUCAUUCAUACCAAAGGCAAUCAUCUCUGUAUUCUCUUUGAGUAAAUCUCCAGAGAUGCAUAAAUUCACCAUAAUUUGCAUUUGCUCAUGAACAGCAUCCCUGUAGGGUUAUUGAAAUUGCAUGUUGUAUUAUUUGAAUCGUUUUGGCUUAGCUGAAGGCCACAAAACUUGAAAGGUGGUUUGUUAUUGGUUCUUGGCCUUCCUGCCUUGUGUCAAAUUUUGCUGUUAAAUAUAUGAAUGUAAAACAACCAUUGGCUACAAGUGAAUUAUACUUCUCAUACUCAGAUCUAACAAAGAAGAGGAAUUGACCUAUGCAUUUUGUUGUCAUGUCCUCCAUGUAUAUGUAACCUUUUGGACAGGAAAAUUCAUGCAUGUGGAUUAUAAACUCCUCUGAGGCUUUGUUUUUAUUUUCCGUGUGAGUACCUGUGCUGCAGUGAUUUGAUUUGAGCAUAUGACUCCAGGAUAUUAUUUCAUAUCAUUCAAGUCAAUGGGGAUCCUGGAGAAAAUUCAAUUGCAGCAGGACCAGUCUUUGAAGAAUGUCACUCUCCGUGUAAGGUGACAGAAAACAGUGUCUAUGAAGGCAAGAUGCUGAGAAAUGUGGAAAAUAGAGGAGCACAACUGCGGGGAGUGGAGAGCGAUGUGGAGCAGGUUCAGCUGUGGCUGGCAAAGAGUCAUGGAGCCUGAUCAAGCAGUCUGUUCAACCCACACGUGUCCCAAGAACUUCAGGGGAAUAGCCUUUGUGAUUUUUUUUUUCCACAUAAUUAAGAUUGUAUUGGGUUCUUAAACCUCUGUAUAAUCCAACAAAGAAAAAAAUUAAAAGUU